UUCGCAUUUAUAACGACAAAUUUAAUAGCUAAAAAAGUUUCACAUUAUAAAAGUGUGAAAAAACACCAUAAAUUUCACAUAACUUUCGCUUUAGUCGGUAACAUUUUAUCAUCAUCGCAUUUAUUUAUUAAUCAUAUGGCCUGACUUUAAAAAAAAUAUUUAAUGUUAUCUUGGGUUAUAGUCUUCCUGUAAAAAAAUACUCGGCAAGACAAAUUGCAUUCCAAAAUAUUAAGAGAAUCUAUUGUCACAGGAACCAAACAGCGUCAAUUUCGUAUUGCCUAACAAUAAGUGUUAACUAGAAGAUUUCCUCUAGUUUAGAGUUUUAAGUCAGUGUUGGAUUCCAUCUUCCUAGCAUUUUCCAAUGCCAUCGAACAGCAGUCACGAAACAAGCAGCUCUAUGAAGUUUGGCAUUAUUGGAGCGAUGUCUCAGUUUCGUAGUUUUUCGCUUGACGCAAGCAGGCUUUUGUGGCUUUGGUGGGUGGAAUGUUGUCUGCAAGAUCCCAAUUAAAUCCUUCUGGGCGCACAAACUAAAUGAUUUACGUCUGGUCCAGCAGAAAGUCUGGGAGAUUUAUGAUUUUGAUGAUGAAAUAUGAUGUUGGAAGUGCAAGUUGCCCUAAGCUUUAAUAUGGUUCACUUUUCUGUAAGCUAUAAUAUUGUUCUCUUUUGAAAUGCA